UUGUCAGCUCUGGAGACUGAAAUCCUCUAUCUAUCCACAGAUCAGAUACUGUACAGAAUAGGCAACAUUAGUAGUUACUUCCAUCCAUGAGUUUCAGUCUUGACCUGGAGAGACACCUACAGGAAUGCAAGAGCAGUUGGGUAUCCAUGCCCAUUCCAUUCUCCUGGGUGCU
ensembl:misc_RNA